rnacentral:rRNA from 1 species
UACGAGUGCUCCAAGCGUUAUCCGGAAUUACUGGGCGUAAAGGGUGUGUAGGCGGUUUUUGUUAGUCGGUUGUUAAAGCUCCCCGCUUAACGGGGAAGAUGCAAUCGAAACGGCAAAUCUAGAGGAUGCGAGAGGUGAACAGAACUCAUAGUGUAGGGGUGAAAUCCGUUGAUAUUAUGGGGAAUACCAAAUGCGAAGGCAGUUCACUGGCGCACUCCUGACGCUGAAACACGAAAGCGUGGGUAGCGAACGGG